CAAGUUCGAACGCGAAAAUCCCGCAAGGGAUUAGUAGAGUGGCAAACGGGUGAGUAACACGUGGGUGACCUGCCUUCGAGUGGGGGAUAACGUCCCGAAAGGGACGCUAAUACCGCAUGACAUCCUGCCUUUGAAGAGGUGGAGCUUAAAGCCGGGGAUCGCAAGACCUGGCGCUUGAAGAGGGGCCCGCGCCUGAUUAGCUAGUUGGUGAGGUAACGGCUCACCAAGGCAACGAUCAGUAUCCGGCCUGAGAGGGCGGACGGACACACAGGGACUGAGACACGGCCCAGACUCCUACGGGAGGCAGCAGUGGGGAAUUGUUCGCAAUGGGCGCAAGCCUGACGACGCAACGCCGCGUGGAGGAUGAAGACCUUCGGGUCGUAAACUCCUUUCGAUCGAGACGAACGGCCCCUGGGCUAAUCACCAGGGGAGUGACGGUACCGAGAGAAGAAGCCCCGGCUAACUCCGUGCCAGCAGCCGCGGUAAUACGGGGGGGGCAAGCGUUGUUCGGAAUUACUGGGCGUAAAGGGCUCGUAGGUGGCCAACUAAGUCAUACGUGAAAUCCCUCGGCUUAACCGGGGAACUGCGUCUGAUACUGGAUGGCUUGAGGUUGGGAGAGGGAUGCGGAAUUCCAGGUGUAGCGGUGAAAUGCGUAGAUAUCUGGAGGAACACCGGUGGCGAAGGCGGCAUCCUGGACCAAUUCUGACACUGAGGAGCGAAAGCCAGGGGAGCAAACGGGAUUAGAUACCCCGGUAGUCCUGGCCCUAAACGAUGAAUGCUUGGUGUGGCGGGUAUCGAUCCCUGCCGUGCCGAAGCUAACGCAUUAAGCAUUCCGCCUGGGGAGUACGGUCGCAAGGCUGAAACUC
rnacentral:rRNA from 1 species